rnacentral:lncRNA from 1 species
CUUGCUGAGUGCUUUGGAGAAAGCAGAGGGCACUGCAGUGGGUCAGGUCUGCUGCCAGCAAGAGGCAGAAGACAAUUUAAUAUUGAUACUGUCCACACAGAUUGGCCAGCUGGAUGCUUCCAAAGCAGGAUUAUGCUUUGCUACGUUGUCUGAAGUUCCUUAGGCAGAAUAAGCAUCUAGUACUGUUGAGCUGAAGUUAAUUUUCCUACUGAAUUUAGCUCCGUUUGUGCUUUGGCUCAGAAAGAGAGUGGAAGGUUCAAGAGAUAAAACACGAUACAACUAUUCUAUGAAAGACUUGGAUGUGCCCUUUGGGGUUCUUUCAUUAAGGCAGUGUGGCAGAAAGGUAUGCAUCAUGUUCCUAUGUAAUGAAGUCAAGACCACCUGGGGAGCCACGGCAGCAACCACAGCACUGCAUAAUUGCAAUGCCAUAAAUAAAACCUGGCAGAAAGUAUAUCGUGU